UAGAAUCUCCCUCCUACACACAGCUGCUACAUGACCAUAAGCAUUGCAACUAAAGAUUCUUACUCAAAAUUCAAAAGGACUGACGGUGACUCCUCUGUUUCACCAUCUUGACCCAUUUGCGUGACAUGGAGCGCCCGCUCCCUCUGGUCAGAAGAAACACAAACACAUAUCACAAGCCAGCAGGUUACCUUCACUGAUUCAACUGCACCCAACUCCUUUCCCACCAUGUCUUGUUUUACACAAAAUAAUCAAAUUAAGUCCGACAGGAUCUUUCUAAAAGUAGCUCUUUAUUAGCUAGCUAUAACUGGCAUGUUCAUGUGUCUCCGGCCAUGAUCAACUGAAAAUGACUACCGUCGUAUCAGAGCGCAGUAUGAUAUGACGGUAGAUUGCAACCAAUUACAAUUCAGUAUGUUGAUACAUGAAUAUUACAUCCCCCUUCUAUAAAAAAGAAAAAUGUUCGACAUAUGUUCUCUGUAGUUUGAACUCAAGGUAAGUAACCAUUUAAACUGCAUAAUGGACCAACUGCAUCAGCAUAACAGACUCUGAAACAAUGAUUCAGCAUACUGUUACUUUUAGAACAAAGAUUUCUCAGCAACUCAGCUUUUCACUGUAUCAAUGACAUCAACAUUUCAAACAAAUACAACACCAAAGCAUUUCAACUAUACCCUUUGACAUUUCACAGGUAUAGGACAGCUCUAGGCUUGACCUCUCUUCCUGACCUUGUGUGAUAUGAUGCUGAGCAAGCUUCUAUGUCAGUCAACCAUUCUUGUGGUAUUGCAGGUAAGUAUGGUGUAUGUUGUGUGUGUGUUUAGUCCAUCACAUUCUCUUUCAUGGAAACAGUUAAUCUCGUCAGUGUGUUGUUCUUUUGUGGUCAGUAGGUGAUGACGAUUACGGUGGUACACCGCUCCUUCUGCGGUGCGGACGUGAUAUGAAUGUUCAGUGUCAGCUGGCUGGAUGACGACUGCUGGCUUCUAGUGGUCAUGCUCCAGGAUUCUGACUGACUCCCCGUUGUUCAGUGGUGGCAGUGGUCUAGCUGACCUGACGUAGUAUCGCUUCUGGUGUUGUUGUCUCUGUGCACAGUUUGCAUGCAUUUCCUUGUAGCUGACGACCUCAGGUUGGAGCUGCUGGUUGGUGCUGGUUGAGCAAAGCGGCUCAUCAACUCAUCUGCGGCUCAUCAACAGCUGGGCUGGUGAUUUGAAGUUGUCAACUGGAGUGUUGCGGUAUUCAAGGAGACUGAGGUAGAGUUCUCUCUUGUCUAUUUUUGCUUUGUCCAUGAGUGAUUUAGCAAUCUGCACAGAUUUUUCAGCAAUGCCAUUACUUUGAAGGUAAUGUGGGCUUGUGGUGGGUAACAUGUUGGAACUCCCAUGCUUUUUUGAAGGAUUCAAACUCCUUUGAUUUGUCAGCUAUUACAGUCUCUACAAUGCCACGUCUGGCAAAGGCUGCUUUCAGCUUGUGGUUCACAGCUGCAGGUAUGGUGCUGUGAAGCUUGUCGCGUUCAAAGUAUAUGCACUGUUACGAUGUAGUCCUCGUUGUUCCAGGUGAACACACCGGUUGCCAGAACCUGCCAGGGUCAGUCUGGGAUACAGUGAGGUAACAUUUAUUUUUAUUUUUAAUUUGACCUUUAUUUUACUAGGCAAGUCAGUUAAGAACAAAUUCUUAUUUUCAAUGACGGCCUAGGAACAGUGGGUUAACUGCCUGUUCAGGGGCAGAACGACAGAUUUGUACCUUGUCAGCUCGGGAAUUCUAACUUGCAACCUUUCGGUUACUAGUCCAACGCUCUAACCACUAGGCUACCCUGCCGCCACAUUGGCUCUUUGGUGUUUGAGGGGAGUCAUUCAAGACAGGUGGGGCAUUUACCAACAAUGUCCUCUAUUUGCUUGCACAUUCCGGGCCAAAACAAAAUGUCCCGCUCUUUUCCAUGCCCACGUGUCCAGCAUGGAUAUUCCGUUGAUCUGUGAUAGUUCAUCACUAUGGUUCCAUUGUCACGCCUUGACCUUAGAGAUCCUUUUUAUGUCUCUAUUUGGUUUGGUCAGGGUGUAACAUGGGGGUGGGUAUUCUAUGUUCUAUUAUUUGUAUUUCUAUGUUUUGGCCGUGUAGGGUUCUCAAUCAGGGACAGCUGUCUAUCGUUGUCUCUGAUUGAGAACCAUACUUAGGUAGCCCUUUGUGGGAAGUUGUCUUCGUUUGUUUGUUGGCACUAUAGCUUCACAGUUGGUUUUUGGAUUGUUUAUUGUUGGCAUCAUAAUAAUAAAAGGAAUAUGUACGCUCACCACGCUGCACCUUGGUCCAGUUCAUUCGACAGCCGUGACAUCCAUCCUGUAUGACUUUCCUCAGCUGUGUAAGAAACUUCCUGGAGAGUGUCUGCAACAGGGAUGUCUUUGCCUGGCAUGGAGCAGGUAGCUUCACUUCUCCUCUUUCCUUCAGAGGACCAGUGAACAUUAGCUACACAUGCUGUUUGAACCUACCCACUGCAUGGCGGAAGUUUGUAGACCGCCAGUCCAUUCGAGGUGAAGGAACUCCAGCAAAAUCCAUAUUUUCGUCCUUUUACUCUGACACCAUGUCUUGUUUUGCACACUUUGUACAAAAUAAUACAAUGUAGUACGACAGGAUUUUUUCUCAACGUAGCUCUUUAUUAGCUAGCUAUAACUGGCACGUUCAUGUGUUGCCGGCCAUUAUCAACUGAACAUGACCUCACGACCUGGAUGGUAUUAACCAAUCAUAGCGCAGCCGUAGAAAACAAUUAAAAUACAAUAUGUUGACAUAUGACUGUUACACCACCCACCCUGAAUCCAAAAAUGUCACUUCUACUGGACCAAACAUUUCUUUAUCAUAACCAUGUUUAUCAAUACAAGCUCCUUACAACAUCUCCUAUCCCUUCCAUUUCACCUCCAGAUCUAGAGCUGGCGUCCAGCUCACUCUGUUUGAAUUUGACACCAAUCUUCCUCA